UACGGAAGGGGCGAGCGUUGUUCGGAAUCAUUGGGCGUAAAGGGUGCGUAGGUGGUUCUGUAUGUCUACCGUGAAAGCGUACGGCUCAACCGUAUUUUGUCGGUAGAAACUGCAGGACUUGAGGCUGGGAGGGGCUGGUGGAAUUCCCUGUGUAGCGGUGAAAUUCGUAGACAUUAGGAAGAACACCAGUGGCGAAGGCGGCUCACUGGCCCGGUACUGACGCUGAGGCGCGAAAGCGUGGGGAGCAAACAGG
rnacentral:rRNA from 1 species